GCGAUAAAAACCGGAACGACUUCCAUGAUCACGAUCCAUGCUUAAUACAUGACAAAGUUCAUCGAUGAAAAGAGAGGACAGCGAGGAAAACAUGGAUAUUACCUGAACGAGGCGCUCUUCCUCUAAAAACAGGAAUUCUUUAACGACAAAAAUAGAGCCAAACGAUAACCAGUGAACACAACCCCGCAGAAAACAAGAACACCUAUUUAACGAUAGACUCGAUUCUCAUAUUAUAGGUACAAUAAUAUAUGCAAUCACAAUCAACUGAAAAGUCCAAAAUGAGAUCCAACUCACCGUCAAUGCGGGGUCCUGCGUGUAGCCUUAUCCAGCACCGUCAAAUCCAGUUCGUCUUUCGCACCAGUAUCCUUCAAUGAAAAGAAAACUUCAACGGGGAGAACCAAACCAGGAAGUCAGCAACAUUGGAUGAACACGCGGAUUGAAUGAUAGCAGAGAGAUCCAACGAUACAUAAAAUAAAAUCCAAAGGAAGCCGUAGCUUCAACUAAAACAGACAGGUGAAACAGACUUAACAACCAAAUGAACCGGCGUACGAUGGCCGAUAGCCGGCUAUCCGAGCGGAUUACAACCCCGGAGGAUGUAACGAGGCUGCGAGAAACGCGUGGACCACCGUGGCGAACUCGGCCGCGAUGCGACGGACGCACAUUUGGCAGCGUCGUUAUCAGUCGCGGUCCGACGAUUGGCUGUGUAUCGGAGCCUGCGCCGGGACGCCGGGAGAGAGGGUGGAGAUGGCGGUGGAGGAGAUAGAUUCAGUGGAUCCAAUAGUCGCGACUGAAAGUGAGACGAGCAGCACACCGUGCAUAGCCGAUUAUACGUGGAAACGGUUGACGAUGGCCGCGACCGGAAGUAGCACGGAUCCACCGUGGUCCGGACACGAAAACGCACUCAUCGAUCAGGACACAAAAGGUUCGAUGUUUCUCGCACGAUUGACACCGUUCCUUGCUUCACGAUUGGAGGCUUCACGCAUGAACAACGAGCCACGGCUAGACAUGGUUCGUGAUUUCCACCGGAAACGAACUGGCCAAGGGGAAUGGUCGUUGAAACGGAGAAGAACUGCUCGAUUUGAGACUGAUUCUUAACGGUGAUCGGUUUAAUCGAUUAUUCACGAAUCACUAGAUCUGCAUCUUGUACUAAUCUCGAGUAACUAAGCCCGAAAUAUGGCCCGUAGUUGAGCGUAAAUCUGGGACCCUUUAAUUGGAAACAAUGGUCCGACGAGAAUAGAUUAGAGCGUUGAAAAGGCGUGCACAAUCGCGGCACGCUUCUGCCGCGCGUAGAUUUCACCCGAGGGAAUCGUCGAUAUCGCGUGAUUUAAUUUGUUACAAUUAGGGCAAAGGGUCCCUUAGGUAGAACAGCACAGAGUGCCAGGCCAAAAGAGCGACAGAACGUGACAGACAGAGGCAGUACGAGCGAGUUCACCGCGCCCUGCUAUUAAUAUCAGUUAACGACCCGAUAUGAUCGCUCGUCUAUACUCACAGACAGG